rfam:Triticum aestivum genome assembly, contig: Triticum_aestivum_CS42_TGACv1_scaffold_407729_5BL
UUUAUACUCCAUCUGUCCCAAAAUUCUUAUUUUACAUUUGUCUAGAUAUGGAUGUACCUAAUAGUAAAACAUAACUUGAUAUAUCCGUAUUUGAACAAAUUUAAGACAAGAAUUUUAGGACGGAGGGAGUACAAU